GCACCGCAGGCCGACUGGGCAGGCGGCUGUUUUACACGCAGCUUAAGCGGGGUUCGAUUCCCUGGCGGUGUACCA
rnacentral:tRNA from 1 species